CAAAGUAUAGCUUAACUAAAGCACUUCGCUUACACCGAACCUAUAUCAGUUGAACUCUGAUUUCUUUGA
rnacentral:tRNA from 1 species